rnacentral:rRNA from 1 species
GAUGAACGCUAGCGAUAGGCUUAACACAUGCAAGUCGAGGGACCGGCGCACGGGAGCGUAACGCGUAUGCAACUUGCCUCACAGAGGGGGAUAACCCGUCGAAAGACGGACUAAUACCGCGUACUGUGAGCUAGGCAUGCGUCCCAUUAGCUAGUUGGUAAGGUAACGGCUCACCAAGGCAACGAUGGGUAGGGGAACUGAGAGGUUGAACCCCCACACUGGUACUGAGAUACGGACCAGACUCCGACGGGAGGCAGCAGUGAGGAAUAUGGGUAAAUGGGCGAGGGCCUGAACCAGCCAAGUCGCGUGAAGGAUGACUGUCUAUGGAUUGUAAUCUUCUUGUGUAGGGGAAUAUGUACCCUACGAAUAAGCAUCGGCUAACUCCGUGCCAGCCGCCGCGGUAAUUC